rnacentral:rRNA from 1 species
GACGAACGCUGGCGGCGUGCUUAACACAUGCCAGUCGAACGGAAAGGCCCUGCUUUCGUGGGGUGCUCGAGUGGCGAACGGGUGAGUAACACGUGAGUAACCUGCCCUUGACUUUGGGAUAACUUCAGGAAACUGGGGCUAAUACCGGAUAGGAGCUCCUGCUGCAUGGUGGGGGUUGGAAAGUUUCGGCGGUUGGGGAUGGACUCGCGGCUUAUCAGUUUGUUGGUGGGGUAGUGGCUUACCAAGGCUUUGACGGGUAGCCGGCCUGAGAGGGUGACCGGCCACAUUGGGACUGAGAUACGGCCCAGACUCCUACGGGAGGCAGCAGUGGGGAAUAUUGCACAAUGGGCGGAAGCCUGAUGCAGCAACGCCGCGUGCGGGAUGACGGCCUUCGGGUUGUAAACCGCUUUCGCCUGUGACGAAGCGUGAGUGACGGUAAUGGGUAAAGAAGCACCGGCUAACUACGUG